rnacentral:rRNA from 1 species
CACCUCGAUGUCGGCUCAUCGCAUCCUGGGGCUGUAGUCGGUCCCAAGGGUUGGGCUGUUCGCCCAUUAAAGCGGUACGCGAGCUGGGUUCAGAACGUCGUGAGACAGUUCGGUCCCUAUCCGUCGCGGGCGUAGGAAAUUUGAGAGGAGCUGUCCUUAGUACGAGAGGACCGGGAUGGACGCACCGCUGGUGUACCAGUUGUUCCGCCAGGAGCACAGCUGGGUAGCUAUGUGCGGAAGGGAUAAGCGCUGAAAGCAUCUAAGCGUGAAGCCCCCCUCAAGAUGAGAUUUCCCAUCGCGUCAAGCGAGUAAGAUCCCUUGAAGAUGACAAGGUUGAUAGGUCCGAGGUGGAAGCGUGGCGACACGUGUAGCUGACGGAUACUAAUCGAUCGAGGACUUAACUAAG